rnacentral:hammerhead_ribozyme from 1 species
AUUCGGCUGAAGAGUCCCAUAUAAGUCGAAACGUGCGUCCUGGAU